AGGAUGUUCAUCACUCACCGUCACAGAACAACGGUAUGCGCGCUGAGAGAGCCGCUCGCUAUGCCAAGCAUGGCGACGUAAGCGCUCUCGUUUAAACUUCAUCGCAACAGGACGAAAGAUGCCAGGCAUAGUGAUGAGUGUCCUGUUCUCAUCUCACCCAAGCACAUCUGCAAAGACCCGGUUUCCACGCAGGACUGAAUUCUGAGCUGCCUCGGGCACCAUGAGUUCAGCCCAUGGAUUAAUUUAACCCAUCGCAAGUGGGGUUCUGCCUCCAGAAGCCAGGAGCACAUUUAGAUCAUACACGUAUGCCUCCCCCAAGGAGUCCUCCUGAAAAUUACAAACCGUCGCGCCCAGCCCUUUGAGGAGGUACCAGUUCCCACAUUAUCUUACUUGCAGCUCAGGUGUGACCGGCCCCACCCUGGGUGAGAGGGUAACCGUGAACAACAGUCUCUGGGAGGUCAUGAAGGAGUGAACUAACAUGAGACAGAGGUUAAAAACAGCUCCAGCAGCAGUGGGAAGUAGAGCGUUAGACAACCUUUGGCCUUUGUGACUUUGAUUUUCAAACAGCACCCAGGAGGUCACAAGGUCUUUAUGACACAGCUUUCCACUUUGCACCCUGGAAAUUUCCGACCCUGGGGAAGUGUGCCCAUACACGGUGAUAUACUUCUUUCUUCUCUCCAGUCAGACCUUCAGAAGCUUCCAGAAAGAAGCCUGGGGAGGGUCCUGUGAGGACCUGGGAUGUAGUCCUGUCUGUGCCUGUACUGUCUUUCAAAGCAGCUGGGUGACUCAGGAAGCCACACAAGGAACUUGAGCCCCCAUUUUCUCAUCUGCACAACAGGAAUGAGAAGGAACAGUUGUCCUGCCUGCCGUCUAAUAGAGUGAGGGCCAGUCUAAGAGGAGCAACUGGCCUUGGGGUGCAGGAAGGCUUUUGGGACACUAGGUCCCAUCAGUUGCUGAGUUUGCCCUCACUGCACAAGCACUCCAGACACCUGGAAGAGGUAUCAGCUGUUGUCAGACCUUUGCUUGGUACCUGGGUGUGGUUCCCAAGUGGGCAGUGUCAGCAUGGAGAGGUGGAAAAAUUCUGAUUCUUGGGGGCUGGUGAGAUGACCCAGUGGAUAAAGGCACUUGCUGUCUAAUUCUAUGCCCCGAGUUCCAUCCCUUCAGAACCCACAAGGUAGAGAAGGAGAGAACUGACUGUGGAUGAAUUUGCCCUUUGACCUCCACUCACAUAUGCACAGCCACGCCCCCACCUCCAACAAAUAAAUGAACAAAUGUAUAUUUUUUAAAAAGCUGACUCCAAGAAUUAUUAAACUGAAUAUGUAUUAUAACAAGAACCCUAAGAGAUCUAUGCACUCGUUCAACUUUGAAGAGCACAGCUUCCGGGGCAUCGUUCCUGCUGUGGGUCCAUUCCAGGCCUCUGAUGAGCGUGAGGGCCUUACUUUCUCUAGGAAGAUGGUGCCCCUCCUCCAGCCCUAGCUCCAGGCACAGCACAGGGACUGAGCUGUUCUUAAAUUAGCCCAGAUGACAGUGGGACUCACUUCCAGAGCUGAAGAUCAAAGACACCGGCUUCAUGCAUAUCGUUCAGUUGAGGAUGGAAGCCUGGAGCUGGGAGCCAUGUUGGUCACCACUACAGCGAGUCCAGGAAGAGUCCUCGAAGAGAGGAAGGGAUGAGCUGCAGACAGAGAGAAUCCCUCCUGCCCACAUCUCCUGAGCUCCCGGUUUUGCCCUCCCCUUCACAGACGGACCCGUGCUUCCCAGCUCUUGUAAGAUCGGAAGAACAGGACUGAAUGAGUGGGCAGGGGUGAGGGGUGUCUGACAAGGCCCAAGAUGGCUAAAGUCAAGCCCCCACACUGGAGCCCUAAGGUGGAGCAGCUGGCGAGGGACAGUCUUUCAGACAGGGGGUCCUGCCUGCACCCCCUGCAGAGCAGGUACAGGGGGACCUCAAACUCAUUCCUGGAAAUGCAGAUCCUUUCAAACAAUGAAAAGAACGCUGACUUUUCCACAUCUUAUCUUCUAUACACCCUGCCUGUAGGAUCUAGGGAACAUGAACUCAGAAAUGCAUGGGGAAGCAUAACGCUGACUGAUGCCCAGAGAACCAGACAUGCACAAACGAGAUGCUGGGCCCAAAAUUAGGAGCAGUUUCCAUUGCUUCCCAUGGCACACUGCUUGUUCACAAUCUCACUAACUCUGUGGACAGCGAAAAAUACAAUGAAACUGGUUGUUACCUUUGGGGAAAAAAGGUAAAACAGUGGGAAAUGAAUGUGUAAACUUAAGUUUGAUGUUUAGUUUGUCUACAAAUUAACACCUGCUGAUCUGAACUUGUAUUCGAUAACUGACUCCAGACAGACAGCUGGGGAAAUAACUAGG